rnacentral:tRNA from 1 species
AACUGUUUAGCUUAUAAAUAAAGUAUAUAUUUUGAAAAUAUAAGAAAGAUGGUUUUUAACAGUUU